CAAGAGUGAUGUGGUGUAGGUUGUGUUUCGUGAGGCACUGCCAAGAUCACAAGAAUGUGACUGUUUUUAUGAUGAUCAAUGACUCUGACCUCCACAAAGGAUUCCUCUGUGAGUGAGGGAUCAGAUGGCAGCCUGUGGACAGCUGGCAUUCCUCAGCGUAUUGGUCAGACGACACUCCCUCCUCCGAGAAUGGCAGGGUUCCCUCAGUGGAGGAGGCGAGCUGAUUGGGUCAGCUGGGAGCUAAGUGAGGUCACAGGGAGGGGCCCCUACCCUGUAUAAUUGUAUCUUUAUAAGGAGUGAAAGAGACACCAUCUACGGCUUCGCUCCUGGGGAGCCAGAAGCAUGGAAUCAGAUGCCAAGAGGAUUAGGCCACCAACUUUGGCGUGUGCUCUUCGGGCCUGCCGUCUAACAGAAUGAGGGUUCCAGCGGUGUUCGCAUCAUCAGACGUCUAGUGUUCUGCACAUAAAACAAGCUCUUGAGGUCAGGAGACAACAUGCAAUCUAGCAGGCAGGUAGCUCGUGAAGCGUCUCAUCUCCCAGCAUAACAAGUGCUUCUCCAUCCAUAUGUACAGAAUUCCACUCUCCAGGUGGGAACGUUGUGAUGGAAUACGCUCUGAGAGAUAGAGGAGGCGACUUCUGCCAGGAGUGAUCAGGAGGACUUCUUGGAGGAGGCAGCACUUGAGCUGGUCUUGAAAGAUGAUGAGAUUUUAAUGGGAAAAGAGAUGAUCGAGAAGAACCUUCUAGCAGGAGGGAGCUGCCCUAGCAAAGACAGGAAGGCUGGAAAAUGCGAGAAGUGGGACAGGAAGAUCAACACAGGACCUCUCCCUUCUGAGCCAAACUGACACCUACCUCUUGCCAUGACAGGCCGCUCUUCUGGAGAUUAUAAACUAUUUAUUUUUAACAGAGAAACUGCCUUAGUUGGAGUUCUGGCUCUGCCACUUACUUAGGUCGGCGCUGCCUCAGGUCUGAAAUGAUGUCUUCUCUUUCCUGUUUUCUGAGCAGCUCAUUCUGCUGCCCGUCAAAUAGGCCCUUUCCCCAGGACCCUUGGGGUCCAGCUGAGUGGAGCAGCCUCCCACACUGGAAGCCUUGAGUUUUCCCCACCUGGGCCUUUCUCUCUGUCCCUGACAUCCGGUUGGUCACCAGAUCCUGGCAGUUGAAAGUCAUUCUCAAGUCCAGCCCCACCACUGCACCUCGGUCCAUGCUCCUGGACACCAGUCUCUCACCGAGCGCUAUGCGUGGCUUGCGUCUGCGGCUGAGAAAUCCUUUCAAACGCACGCCUUCCCUAUUAUAUCCAGCAUAGGAUCUGACCCGGCAGGACCUCAGUAAAGACUUGUGGCUGCUUUAAGAGUGGGCACCUGCCGUCACAUUUUCCUCAGCAUUUUCCCUAUGCUGCUGGCGCAUUGGGUAGCUCUACUCAACCCAUGACGGAUUGCAGAUCUUUUGGCCGCUGCAUUCACAAAUUUGUCCCGAGCCGCUCCAUGGAAGGCAUCCCAGAAGCCUAUCAAUCUUCCCAUGAGUGUUCAAGAUUCCCAAAUCCCCAAAAGGCCCUAAUACCAUCUCUGUGUGAGCAGCUGCCCAUGUGUUGGGGAGUGCCCUGCCUGAGGCAGAGGGCGCACUGCAUCUGUUUGGAGGUGGGUGAGCCUCACGUGUUCUGCACAGGGCAUGAGGUAGGCAUUGGAGAGCAGCCCUGGCCCCCCCACCCAGGGGACAGUAGGUGGGGUUCUAAAUUAUGAGUCAUUAAUCAGCUCUUCAUAUGUCUGAAUUAUUCAUAAAGUAAGUGCUUGUGGUUUGGAUGCUAGUCUAUGAAUAUAUAGGCAAAUUAUUUAUUAUGGCAUUUACAUGGAUUUUGCAAAAAAGUUUUCCAGAAACCCUUUAGGUUCAGUGGUUGAAUUUAACAAAUAUUUCCUGUGCACCUACUCUAUGACAGAAAUUGUGAUUGGCGUUAAAGACAUAAAGAUGAAUAGGAUAAUAAGCACCUGCCUUCAGUGUGCUCUGGGUUAGCAGGGAGAACACACAAUCCAGCUGGUCCACAGAGGCUGACUUAUUAACAACAUUUAUCACAGCAUGUGGGAAAUAUGAGCUAACUGUAUUUCAGAUAGUAACAUGACCACGCCAAAACCAAACCAAAUCAAAACAAGGCAAGAAACCAAACCAACAAACCAACCCCACCACCACAACAGAAACUAACCCAAGUAACAUUGAACACGGAACCUUGACCUAUAACCCUUGUCCUGCAGACAAAAUACCUGCAAACAAAUAUUGAACUUGACUUGUGGGUUUGCUUUCACUGUGGUGCAAGGUAGCAAUUCUGUAAUGAUUUUCUGUCUUGUAGGGUUGAGCAAAUACAAGAUUCCACCAGUGCUGUUGGAAGCCAGCGUUCUUGUUUUUGGAAAGGGGACAUUUUCUUUCUUUCUCUUAUUUUUUUCCCUCCCUCCCUCCCUCCCUCCCUCCCUCCCUCCCUUCCUUCCUUUCCGUCAAAGCACUUACAAUCUUCUCACAUACUAUACAAUUUACUUAUUUAUUGUGUUCCCCAUUUGGUGUCUGUCUUCCCCCCGGGGGCAGGGCUCUUUGCUGCUUCAUCCAAUAUGUGUUCACGAUCUGAGUGCCUGCAAUAGUAGGCAUGUGCUUAUCUAGUGAAUGAUGGGCAAUGGUGGUGGAGAUGCAGAUUAGGACCAGGUCAUGGGGAGUACUGGAUUACGAAAGUGAACACAUUUGGAUUUCAGCCUGUUGGAAAAUGAGAUGAUGCUGGAAGUGGUGAAGGGGCUGCAACAUGAUGAGAG
rnacentral:lncRNA from 10 species